GAUGAACGCUGGCGGCGUGCCUAAUACAUGCAAGUCGAGCGAACGGACGAGAAGCUUGCUUCUCUGAUGUUAGCGGCGGACGGGUGAGUAACACGUGGAUAACCUACCUAUAAGACUGGGAUAACUUCGGGAAACCGGAGCUAAUACCGGCUAAUAUUUUGAACCGCCUGGUUCAAAAGUGAAAGACGGUCUUGCUGUCACUUAUAGAUGGAUCCGCGCUGCAUUAGCUAGUUGGUAAGGUAACGGCUUACCAAGGCAACGAUGCAUAGCCGACCUGAGAGGGUGAUCGGCCACACUGGAACUGAGACACGGUCCAGACUCCUACGGGAGGCAGCAGUAGGGAAUCUUCCGCAAUGGGCGAAAGCCUGACGGAGCAACGCCGCGUGAGUGAUGAAGGUCUUCGGAUCGUAAAACUCUGUUAUUAGGGAAGAACAUAUGUGUAAGUAACUGUGCACAUCUUGACGGUACCUAAUCAGAAAGCCACGGCUAACUACGUG
rnacentral:rRNA from 1 species